rnacentral:tRNA from 2 species
GCCGACUUAGCUCAGCGGUAGAGUGCUUCCUUGGUAAGGAAGAGGUCACGGGUUCAAGUCCCGUAGUUGGCUCCA